rnacentral:rRNA from 1 species
UCAGCGUGAGUGAAGAAGGCCUUCGGGUUGUAUAGCUCUUUCGCAAGGGAAGAAAACUUAUGAUCGAAUAAAUCAUGAGGUUGACGGUACCUUGAUAAGAAGCACCGGCUAACUACGUGCCAGCAGCCGCGGUAAUACGUAGGGUGCGAGCGUUAAUCGGAAUUACUGGGCGUAAAGCGUGCGCAGGCGGUUUUGUAAGUCGGAUGUGAAAUCCCCGGGCUCAACCUGGGAACUGCGUUCGAAACUGCAAGGCUAGAGUGUGUCAGAGGGGGGUAGAAUUCCACGUGUAGCAGUGAAAUGCGUAGAGAUGUGGAGGAAUACCAAUGGCGAAGGCAGCCCCCUGGGAUAACACUGACGCUCAUGCACGAAAGCGUGGGGAGCAAACAGGAUUAGAUACCCUGGUAGUCCACGCCCUAAACGAUGUCAACUAGUUGUUGGUAGAGUAAAAUCUAUGAGUAACGUAGCUAACGCGUGAAGUUGACCGCCUGGGGAGUACGGUCGCCAGAUUAAAACUCAAAGGAAUUGACGGGGGCCCGUACAAGCGGUGGAUUAUGUGGAUUCCUUCGAUGCAACGCGAGGCACCUUACCUGGCCUG